AGGACGAACGCUGGCGGCGUGCUUAACACAUGCAAGUCGAACGGAAAGGCCCUUCGGGGUACUCGAGUGGCGAACGGGUGAGUAACACGUGGGUGAUCUGCCCUGCACUUCGGGAUAAGCCUGGGAAACUGGGUCUAAUACCGGAUAUGACUACGAAUCGCAUGGUUUGUGGUGGAAAGCUUUUGCGGUGUGGGAUGGGCCCGCGGCCUAUCAGCUUGUUGGUGGGGUUAAGGCCUACCAAGGCGACGACGGGUAGCCGGCCUGAGAGGGUGUCCGGCCACACUGGGACUGAGAUACGGCCCAGACUCCUACGGGAGGCAGCAGUGGGGAAUAUUGCACAAUGGGCGCAAGCCUGAUGCAGCGACGCCGCGUGAGGGACGACGGCCUUCGGGUUGUAAACCUCUUUCAAUGGGACGAAGUGCAAGUGACGGUACCAUAGAAGAAGGACCGGCCAACUACGUGCCAGCAGCCGC
rnacentral:rRNA from 1 species